rnacentral:rRNA from 1 species
GAUGAACGCUGGCGGCGUGCCUAAUACAUGCAAGUCGAGCGAACGGACGAGAAGCUUGCUUCUCUGAUGUUAGCGGCGGGCGGGUGAGUAACACGUGGAUAACCUACCUAUAAGACUGGGAUAACUUCGGGAAACCGGAGCUAAUACCGGAUAAUAUUUUGAACCGCAUGGUUCAAAAGUGAAAGACGGUCUUGCUGUCACUUAUAGAUGGAUCCGCGCUGCAUUAGCUAGUUGGUAAGGUAACGGCUUACCAAGGCAACGAUGCAUAGCCGACCUGAGAGGGUGAUCGGCCACACUGGAACUGAGACACGGUCCAGACUCCUACGGGAGGCAGCAGUAGGGAAUCUUCCGCAAUGGGCGAAAGCCUUACGGAGCAACGCCGCGUGAGUGAUGAAGGUCUUCGGAUCGUAAAGCUCUGUUAUUAGGGAAGAACAUAUGUGGAAGUAACUGUGCACAUCUUGACGGUACCUAAUCAGAAAGCCACGGCUAACUACGUG